AUUUUUUAAAAGUUACUUGCUUAACACUUUUUGUCUUCAUCAUCCUUGAGAGUUGUGUAUUUUACAUUCCAUCUUUACAUAUGAAUGUUUAUGAAUGGUAAUUUAUACUGGAUGAUUAUAAUCAAGAAAUAUUUAAAAGAUAGUUUUAUUCAAAGGCUGAAGAAUUUAUUCAGGGAGAACUCAAGGCAACAAAUUAACUGUUUUGUUUGUUGGUGUGUUUGUUUUGAGAUGAAAUUUUACUCUUGUUGCCCAGGCUGGAGUGCACUGGUGAAAUCUCAGCUCACUGCAACCUCCUGGGUUCAAGUGGUUUUCUGGCUUCGGCCUCCCAAGUAGCUGGGAUUACAGGCAUACACCAUCACACCUGGCUAAUUUUGUAUUUUUGGUAGAGACUGGCUUUCACCAUGUUUAUCAGGCUGGUCUUAAACUCCUUAACUCAGGUGAUCCACCUGCCUUGGCCUCCCAAAGCACUGGGACUAGAGGCAUGAGCCACCGCACCUAGCCACAGAUUCACACGUUUUAAAUUUUCUUCUUUCUUUUGAGAGUUUCCAGGGGACCUGCUCCUCUUUUAAUAUUCUCAGAAUCUUUAGGACUCAUUUUCCUCCAUGGUCCAUUCCCAUUCAAUACAAUCCAGAGCAACAGACAGAGGUUUUACCAUGUUGUUCAGGCUUGUCUCAAACUCCUGGGCUCAAGCAGUCUGCCCACUUCAGACUCCCAAAGUGCUGGGAUUACAGGUAUACUAGACUUCCCUUCAUUCCUCAAAGACACGGAGCUCGUUCUUGCCUUGGAGCCCACCUCCUCUGCCUGGAGUGUUCUUUACCUAUCUUUACAUAACUGGCUUUUGUCAUUAAAAUUGAACCAAUAUUUCCACAAUGGUUGUACCGUCAGAACAUCACAAAUGGAGAAGGUAUCUACUCAAAGACAAGGUUGGCUAUGCCAAUUGGUUGAUCCUUCUGUUCUUCAUGGCCCCAUCUUCAAAAGCAGCUACAGUUGGUCUCGGGACUUAACAUACAAAUUUGAGAGAGAGGAAAAAUCAGUCCAUAGCAGUCUCUAAGUCUAAAAAUUUGAAAAAAGUAAAAGCAAAACAAAAAUAAAUUUGAUGCUGGAAUACA
rnacentral:lncRNA from 13 species